CAGCCGCCACGGGAAUGCGAAGGGUGCAAGCGUUACUCGGAAUUACUGGGCGUAAAGCGUGCGUAGGUGGUGGUUUAAGUCCGUUGUGAAAGCCCUGGGCUCAACCUGGGAAUUGCAGUGGAUACUGGGUCACUAGAGUGUGGUAGAGGAUAGUGGAAUUUCCGGUGUAGCAGUGAAAUACGUAGAGAUCGGAAGGAACAUCUGUGGCGAAGGCGACUAUCUGGGCCAACACUGACACUGAGGCACGAAAGCGUGGGGAGCAAACAGGAUUAGAUACCCGUGUAGUCCCUGUCUCUUAUAA
rnacentral:rRNA from 1 species